rnacentral:lncRNA from 1 species
UCAUCACCAACGGACAACCAGUUUAUUUACGCGCUCGUCGUUUAAAUCAAGAGAAACUCGUCAACGCUAAGAAAGAAUUUGAGUACAUGAUCAACAUGGGAAUUUGUCAACCAUCGCAAAGUGAAUGGGUCAGUCCAUUAAACAUGGUUCCAAAAAAGAAUAGACUUUGGCGACCGUUUGGAGAUUAUCGAUGUUUAAACACUCAAACAGGUCGUGAUCGUUAGCUAGUCAAAUGCAUUCGCGAUUUCACGCAUAAUUUAAACGGAAAGGCAAUAUUUUCGGUUCUUGAUUUGGAGAAAACUUAUUUCAACAUUCCAAUCGCCGACGAAGAUCGAAAUAAGACAGCCAUAAUCACGCCGUUUGGGUUCUUUAAAUUCAACGUUACGACCUUCGGAUUAUGCACCGCAGCGCAAAUAUUUCGACUCAUGAAUCAGAUAUUAUUCGGUUUGGACGUUGUAAUCUGCUACAUCGACGACAUUUGCAUCGCAUCGAAGAACAAAGAAGAGCAUUUAUUUGCAACAUAUUCGCAUAGUUUUGGAACGGUUAUGCGAACACGGCUUAAAAAUCAAGGUCGCUAAGUGCGAAUUCGCGCAGCAAGAGGUGUUAUUUUUAGGUUUUCGAGUCAGUAAAACCGGCAUUCGACCAUCAGCCAGCAAAGUAGACGCUGUCGCAAAUUAUCCAAAAUCAGAAAUAGCCAAGAAACUUCCUGGGAGCGAUUAACUUUGGUCACGAUUUCAUUCCUAAUGCAGCUCAAACGCAAGGCCAACUACGCGUUCUAAUCAAAGGCAACAAGAAAAAUGAUAAAUCGCCAGUUAUUAGGACAGAAGAUGCAGAAAGGGAUUUCGAAGAAUGUGAUCAGGUAUUGAUCGACGCAAUUGCGUUAAAACAUCCAUUGCCAAACUCGACGCUAGCAAUUUUUCGGUCGGAGCAGCUCUUCACCAAGUCAACGAAGAGAAAUUUGAGCCACUCGGAUCUUAUUCAAAACGAAGACCGAUCGCCAGAAGCGCUACAGCACAUAUGAUCGCUAGUUAUUAGCCACUCAGUCAAACAUUUUAAACACUUGAUUGAAGGUAGGCGCUGCACAAUUAUGACCGAUCAUAAACCAAUAACAUUCGCAUUUUUACAAAAUCCCGAGUAGACAUCGCCACGACAAUUGAAUCAUUUCGAUUUCAUCAGUCUGUACACCACUGAUAUUUGUUACAUUUCCGGGAAAGACAACAUCGUAGCCGAUUUUUUCUCACACAUCGAGAGUUUAUCAACCUGUGAAGCAAUCAAUUUUGAAGAGUUGGCUGAGAGUCAGAAAAUCGACAAGAAUUGAAUGUUUUUUUGAAGAGCAACACGUCAAGUUUACAACUAAAGUUAGUUAAUAUUCCGAACGUAACCAAAGCCAUUUUUUGUGACGUUUCAACGGAUUUUUGUCAACAAGUAUUCAACUCUGUUCACAAUAUGGCUCAUCCCAGUAAAAAGUCAACAAUCAAAGUGGUACACGCUUGUAUUUCAUGCCAAAAAUUCAAAAUUGCGCAACAGAACAGAGCAGCACUUCAGAGUUUUUCUACACCAAGUAAACGCUUCGAAUGGAUUCAUAUCAAUUUGGUCGGACCAUUGCCAGUUUCAAAAGCUAUUGUCUUACUUGCAUCGAUAGAUACACUCGUUGGCCAAUCGCUAUUCCAAUUGAAGGCAUUCAUAUCGAUACCGUCGUCAAGGCUUUAAUCAACGUUUGGAUAACUUUUUACGGUGUGCCAGCUAAAAUCACCACAGAUCAAGGCAAGCACAUCGAAGCAAAAUGAUUCAACGAAUUAACGCGUAUAUUUAGAACAAAACAUCUUCGUUCAAGUCCACGACAUCCGCAAGCCAACGGUAUGAUCGAACGUUUUCAUCGAACCAUGAAAUCAUGUCAAAACAACGAACGCUGGACCGAAACACUGUCAUUGAUCUUGCUUACCCUUCGCUCUGUGCUCAAAGGAGACAUCAAAACAACACCAUCAGAGAUGGUUUAUGGUGAGACACUCAAACUCCCAUGCGAUUUCUUCGAAAACAUCGACGACGAUAAUUUUGGCACCGAACUCGUUCAACAAUUACCCGAAUUGAUGUGGAAAAUUCAACCCGUUCCAGCGUCGAAUCACGCUAACAACAGGGUCUUCGUCUAAAAGAAUAUGCAAACUGGCACACACGGUUUCUUGAGAGAUGAUGAUGUUCGACCACCGCUUAAAACACCAUACGACGGUCCAUAUGAAAUGUUGAGCCGAAACGGCAAGACAUUUGAAAUUCUCGUCAAAGAUUACAAAGUUAGCACAGAUAGAGUCAAAGCAGCAUUUUUACCAAUCGACGAACCGCCAUCAUCAGCAUCAAACGCAAUCAUACCACCAGACACGGUCGUAUUAACAUCAAGCAAAAAUCAAACCCACUCAAACCCAAAGCGAACAACCAAGGUCAACGAAAAUCGGAAGAACCGUCAACAAACCUAAAGGAUACGUUUCUUUCUCCGACAAUUAGUAAUUACUUUUUCAUUUUUUCCGUGACUUAAUUAUCAUUCAGUCACUGGCGGGGGAGUACUGUGGCGGUUAAAUUUAAUUUACAUAAAUUUAUUUUGCAAUUUUAAUUUCAUUUCAUUUUUAAUUUUAAAAGUCACGACAAUAUCGAAAACCCACAAUACGUCAAUAUUGCAUAAUAAACGUUCAAUAAAUAUUGCCAUUCGGUAUAAAAAUAUUGAACGUGUAGCCAGCGUCAUAGAAACUGAUGACUGCUUAUUUUUUCUUUUGCCUUUUGUUAUGGCAUCUGUAGGAGUUGAAUUUAGCAUCAGAAGCCAUAAUAAUGUUUACAAAACACGUUUAUAAAAAUACUCGCGGUAUAACGAUUGCAAAACAUAGCUUUUUAGGUACGUGUGUUUAUUUCAUUCACCGACACCCACAAACUCACCAGAGUACUUGGCAAAUGCAAAUAAUCGCGAAGGGCUAUUGAAAAUUUGGGCCCCCAAAUCGCCAUGUCCUCUGAGACAUAAAUCGAUUAUGCUGCGGAAGUCUUGACCAGAAGUAUGUAUGUAUAAUUCUGCCCGUAUAACUACGCCAGGAGCUAGAAGCACACAUCGCGUCAACAAGUGGGACAGACAUCUGUUAUCCAAUGAGAUAAUGACAAAACUCAGAGAGAAGAGACAUCUUCGGCAUGCAUGGCAGGUCAAAAGAAAUCCUACUGACAAAUCGUGCCGCAAAGGAGCUGAAGCAUGUUCUCUGGAAAUUGUGCAACAUGUCCCUAGAGACAUUUCUGGUUGCUGCCAAGCCAGGAUAUCCAGUAAACAAUUUUUGGAAUGUGAUUAGAUAAAACAAUAAGCCGAUAUCUAGAUGCCCACCAAUUUUAAACAGCAGAGGUCAGUGUUGCAGGACUAAUGCAGAAAAAAGCCGAAGUGUUUGCCAGACACCUCCAAAACAUGAUUAAAAAACACACACACUAUGGUCUCCACGACGUUGUUGGAACGAAUUCAAUGAACCCACGAAGUACUCGAAAAUUCUUUCAGUAUUGACUUCUAAAACUUGAAAAGAAUCAGGUUUAUUGCUAAAGACAAAAGACUUCAAAUAACCUCACAAGAAGUAGCCUAAUGUGCUUAAAUCAAAACUUUUUCAAGGCCAUUCAAUAACACAAUUAGUCAAAUUAAUCGAAUCUCUAAACUUUUCUCGCAGUACAAGUAAAUCGGUUGUAGCACGUAGCCCCGUUUUGUUAGAACCAGAUUGAUCUUGACAAGGAACCGAUGAUUCCACCAGAGCAAGAAACACACCAAACUGUCAAUUUAGGUAAAUGAAAUGGGUGUUCAGCAAUAAUUUGUGGAUUUUCCUCGCACCAGAAUCUAUAUAUUAGCGUAUUUAUCGCAUCACCCAGAUGAAAGUGCGACUAUUCCGAAAAGAUGAUUUACUUAAUUGUUUUUUGUAAUUCUUACAAUAAAAUUUAGUAAUUUUAAACGUU